UACGUAGGAUGCAAGCGUUGUCCGGAAUUAUUGGGCGUAAAGAGCGCGCAGGCGGCCCAUCAAGUCAGAUGUGAAAUAACCAGGCUUAACCUGGUGGGGUCAUUUGAAACUAGCGGGCUAGAGUCCAGCAGAGGAUAGCGGAAUUCCCGGUGUAGUGGUGAAAUGCCUAGAUAUCGGGAGGAACACCAGUGGCGAAGGCGGCUAUCUGGGCUGGAACUGACGCUGAGGCGCGAAGGCUAGGGGAGCAAACAGG
rnacentral:rRNA from 1 species